UACAGAGGGGGCAAGCGUUGUUCGGAAUUACUGGGCGUAAAGGGCGCGUAGGCGGCCUGCUAAGUCGAACGUGAAAUCCCUGGGCUCAACCCAGGAACUGCGUCCGAUACUGGCAGGCUUGAAUCCGGGAGAGGGAUGCGGAAUUCCAGGUGUAGCGGUGAAAUGCGUAGAUAUCUGGAGGAACACCGGUGGCGAAGGCGGCAUCCUGGACCAAUAUUGACGCUGAGGAGCGAAAGCCAGGGGAGCAAACGGG
rnacentral:rRNA from 1 species